UCUCAAUUACCAACUGUCAACU
rnacentral:miRNA from 1 species